GACGAACGCUGGCGGCGUGCCUAACACAUGCAAGUCGAACGGAACUGUUUUGAAAGAUUUCUUCGGAAUGAAUUUGAUUUAGUUUAGUGGCGGACGGGUGAGUAACGCGUGAGUAACCUGCCUUCAAGAGGGGAAUAACAUUCUGAAAAGAAUGCUAAUACCGCAUGACAUAUCGGAACCACAUGGUUUUGAUAUCAAAGAUUUUAUCGCUUGAAGAUGGGCUCGCGUCCGAUUAGUUAGUUGGUGAGGUAACGGCUCACCAAGACCGCGAUCGGUAGCCGGACUGAGAGGUUGAACGGCCACAUUGGGACUGAGACACGGCCCAGACUCCUACGGGAGGCAGCAGUGGGGGAUAUUGCGCAAUGGGGGCAACCCUGACGCAGCAACGCCGCGUGAAGGAUGAAGGUUUUCGGAGUGUAAACUUCUUUUAUUAAGGACGAAAAAUGACGGUACUUAAUGAAUAAGCUCCGGCUAACUACGUG
rnacentral:rRNA from 1 species